GACGUAGGGCGCGAGCGUUGUCCGGAUUUAUUGGGCGUAAAGAGCUCGUAGGCGGCUUGUCGCGUCGACUGUGAAAACCCAUGGCUCAACCAUGUGGUCUGCAGUCGAUACGGGCAGGCUAGAAUUCGGUAGGGGAGACUGGAAUUCCUGGUGUAGCGGUGAAAUGCGCAGAUAUCAGGAGGAACACCGGUGGCGAAGGCGGGUCUCUGGGCAACAACUGACGCUGAGGAGCGAAAGCGUGGGGAGCGAACAGG
rnacentral:rRNA from 1 species